rnacentral:lncRNA from 1 species
GAAGUAGUUAAAGUUGUUUCUAAUCCUAUACAGUCGAAAAAAAUUUGUGAGUACGAAGGAGCUUAGAUCCAAGUUUCAUAACAACCUAGUGAAGAUGGCUGAUGUUUAAAAAAAAAUUGUUGAAAAAAAUUUCUUCUCCAAAAGACAAAAAAAUAAAAAAAUAUGAGAAGAAAAGAAAAGCAAAAGAAAUUGCAGAGUCAAGCAAUGGUGAUGAUGAUGUUGAGAAUUCUUCUGCUAAUGUAACUGAAGAAGACAUGGAGGAAGAGGUAUUUUUCGUAAAGCUUUUAUCAAUUUUGGGGUAAUAUGUAUUUUUCAUGAAGUUAAUAUGUAUUUACUGCUCAUUGAUAUGUAUUUAGGGAUUUCAGUAAAAUUGAUCUGUUAAGAUGAUAGGCUAAAUAUACAAUUUGUGUUAACAUGUAUUUAUUUGUAUUUUUUGUGAAACUGCUAUGUUUAUUUGUAUUUUGUAUGUUAGAUAAAUUUGCUAAGUUGCAUGUAUGAAAAAUAAAUUAAUCUUUGAACUAUUCCUAAAAAGGCAUUUGGUUAUAUGUAUUUUUUUUUUUUUAUAUAUAUUUUCUGUGGAAUGUACAUGAUAACAUAUGCAGAGUGUCUUUCUUAAGGUCAACGCUUUCUUUCGAUUGUGUUCAAUCCCAACAUACUUCGUACAAGAUAUACUUCUCUAUUGUGGGACUAUGGUAUGAGAAAACAAGAAGCAAAAACUCAAAGUGACGACAAAGUACAAUUGAGGCUUGUUAGGGAAAGUAAGAUAACAAGUGUCACAAAAGUACUUGAAGUCUAAUGGUUGAUGAUUUUAUUACAUUGUAUAGUGAC